UAAUUGAAAUAAUUUUGAGGCAUCGCCUCCUGAAGGUGCCCUGCCGAGGCGGCGCCAAUUGCACUGACACUCCGCCUUGUCCGGUGUUUUAGGUAAUGAUUUCCCCGUCCCGGUCCUGUUCUGCAGCAACUGCUCGGUGAACCCGGUGCCCUGUCACUGGCCGCACAUCUGCGGAGGCGGGAGGCGGCGCAGAGCGCGGGGUCCGGCCGCCCGAUCCCGAAGAGUUCCCAGGCUUCAGCCGCAGACGAGGAGGGAUCCCGUAGGCCUCGAGUCCCUGGAAGCCCAGAGAUGGAAGAUAGCCGAGAUGAUCAUAAUUCCCACCAUCGCCGUCCUCUUCAUCGGCAUGGGAUCGAUUCUGAUUAUUAUCCUCCUGUGGAUGAAGCAGGUGCGACAGUUGGCAGCGAAUUGCAACCAGGGCUACCGAUACCUGAAAGACGAG